UAGUGUUGCAAUGUAAAACAUUGCAGUUUUAGAGAAACUGCAAUGUUAACAUUGCAGCACUA
rnacentral:miRNA from 1 species